GAUGAACGCUAGCGGCAGGCUUAAUACAUGCAAGUCGAGGGGUAGCAAGAUUGUAGCAAUACAAUUGUUGACGACCGGCAAACGGGUGCGGAACACGGACACAACCUUCCUACAAGUGGGGAAUAGCCCAGAGAAAUUUGGAUUAAUACCCCGUAACAUAGCGAUGUGGCAUCACAUUGCUAUUAUAGCUUCGGCGCUUGUUGAUGGGUGUGCGGCUGAUUAGAUAGUUGGCGGGGUAACGGCCCACCAAGUCUACGAUCAGUAGCUGAUGUGAGAGCAUCACCAGCCACACGGGCACUGAGACACGGUCCCGACUCCUACGGGAGGCAGCAGUAAGGAAUAUUGGACAAUGGACGCAAGUCUGAUCCAGCCAUGCCGCGUGAAGGAUUAAGGUCCUCUGGAUUGUAAACUUCUUUUAUAAGGGACGAAAAAAGGUCUUUCUAGAUCGUCUGACGGUACCUUAUGAGUAAGCACCGGCUAACUCCGUGCCAGCCGCCGCGGUAAAAC
rnacentral:rRNA from 1 species